CGGGCUUCCUCUUUACUGAUUGCUUAUGGGAAACCUGCUCUGCGAAUCUGCCCUUCUCACUUCGCAGUUAAGCCACUGAGUUCCUUCUGCCGCUGGAAGGUGAAGGCGAGUUGCCCUUAUCUUUCACUGUCUUAGAAUAUAUACACUGAAGCUUGGGAAAAGAUAUUUAUGUAAUUUCUGUGUCAAAAUUAAAGACCUGCUAUGGCAAUGAAGAAAGAGAUUGAAUUUGUCAUUUUCACCUAAAGAAAAAUGAUAGACAAAAAUCAAACCUGUGCUUCAGGACAGGAUUCUAUACCCUAUAUGACCUGUCUGAUCCACAUACUCGAAGAAUGGUUUGGUGUGGAGCAAUUGGAGGACUAUUUGAAUUUUGCAAACCAUCUCUUGUGGGUUUUUACACCACUGAUUCUUUUAAUACUUCCUUAUUUUACUAUCUUUCUUCUCUAUCUUACUAUUAUUUUCUUACACAUUUAUAAGAGGAAAAAUGUAUUAAAAGAAGCUUAUUCUCAUAAUUUAUGGGACGGUGCAAGGAAAACAGUGGCAACUCUGUGGGAUGGACAUGCAGCAGUUUGGCAUGGUUAUGAAGUUCAUGGGAUGGAAAAAAUACCAAAAGAAGGACCAGCACUUAUAAUUUUUUAUCAUGGAGCUAUUCCCAUAGAUUUUUACUACUUUAUGGCUAAAAUUUUUAUUCACAAAGGCAGAACUUGCCGAGUAGUGGCUGAUCACUUUGUCUUUAAAAUUCCAGGGUUUAGUUUAUUACUUGAUGUAUUUUGUGCUCUACACGGACCAAGAGAAAAAUGUGUUGAAAUUCUGAAGAGUGGUCACUUGUUAGCUAUUUCACCAGGUGGAGUUCGAGAAGCCCUAUUUAGUGAUGAAACUUACAACAUCGUAUGGGGUAAUCGAAAAGGCUUUGCUCAGGUUGCAAUUGAUGCAAAAGUGAUGAGGAGACUCAGGCACAGACAGAUGGAGGGAUGGAAGGGAUCUGGUCACAACAAGGCAGCAGCAGAGCAGAACACACAGUUCAGGACUCAAGGCAACGGUGCUGUUGCCAUCUCUGACUACAUUGCACACCCAUUAUUCCUAUGUUUACACAAAAUAUUCGAGAAGGAUUUAGAUCACUUGGAGGAACAAGGCUGUUUAGAUGGCUUUAUGAAAAAUUCCGUUAUCCGUUUGCUCCAAUGUAUGGCGGUUUUCCAGUGAAGUUACGGACUUAUUUAGGUGAUCCCAUUCCAUAUGAUCCAAAGAUAACAGCAGAAGAAUUAGCUGAAAAGACGAAGAAUGCUGUUCAAGCUUUGAUUGAUAAGCACCAAAGAAUUCCAGGAAACAUUAUGAGUGCUUUGUUAGAACGUUUUCAUAAAAAACAAAAGGUCAACUAGAAGUUGAUUUAAUUUAUGAUAUUAAUAUGCUUGUGUCUAUGGUACUGUCUUCUAAAUUUUAUAGAUCCUGUAAUUAGUAUUUUUAAAAAAUCAUGUUGAUAAGCAUCUUUCUCAGAACUUGUGUAUUUAAAUUGUCAAUUUUUUUUUGCAAUCAGUUGUGUCAGAUUUAAUUAGUAACUUGUUACAUGCCUAAUAAUUCAGAAAAUGAUUGUAUUCCAUUUGUAACUUCUUAAUGAUUUAUGAUAAAUGUAUGGGUUCUUGAAAGUUAAGUUUUUAAUUACAGAAGUUUAGGUUAAGUAAACAUUCCUGAAUAAUGCACCUAAUUUCUUUAUGUGUCUGACUGAGAUAAUUUUAAGACAGGUAUAAGCUAUAGGUUUUUGUACAAUUGCUUAAGUUAGAAAGGAAAAGUUUUAAAAUCUGUUCCUCAUUUCUUUCAUGACUUCGGGCAAGUCAUGCAAUGUUUUUGUGCCUCAAUAAUUUACUUUUUAAGUCAUGGAAAUGCUAUGGUAAGGAACACUACUUUAAGUUCUUUAUUAUUGAUGACUAUUGAACUGAAAUUAUAACCAAAUUAUGUCAUAUCUUAUCCAUGGAAUGUUUGAAUUUUUCCUUCGGGUAUGAUAUCCAGUUGCCAAGCACAACGAAAGAGACGUACUGUUUUUCAAAUUGAAUAGAAAGAAAUUAGAGAAAAUAUAAUUUCUACUUGUUACCUUUAGUAUUUAUUAUAUUUUUGACAAGAUCCUGUAAAUAUACAAUAUAGGGUGCAUUGUCAGCCCUAUAACAUGGCAUUAAAUAGUACAAGGAUGAAAAUCAUUGUUGUGUUCUGCAUUUUGUUUUAGAAGCUGAUUCUAGGCUGAGGAAAGUGGAAAUAAAACUCUGCUUUGGCUCAACACUGUAGUUCUUGCAGUUUGACUUUGUACCAGUCAGAUGGCUUAUUGUUUCAAUAAAAUAUACUUACUUGAAUGAUGAAUUUAUGUGAACAGAAAGCUCUCUAAGUAGUUAAUGGCUUUUGAUUUGCUGUCUCCUUGAAGGUCAAUUUUAAAUAGUAUUUAAACAGAAAAGUAUCCAAAAUCAAAUGCAGUAUCUCCCUUUUGUAGAUGUUAAAGUACUUGGGUUUUGUAUAGAUUUUUGUAUUAUGAGUGUAUAUUUAUGAUAUGUGUAAAAUAUCAAACAAUAUGAAAAUAAAAGUAAAGCUGAAUUGUU